UGGGCUUGCAAUAAAUCAUAGAUGUCCCUGA
rnacentral:piRNA from 1 species